rnacentral:rRNA from 1 species
CGAAAGCGGCUCUCUGGUCUGUAACUGACGCUGAGGCGCGAAAGCGUGGGGAGCAAACAGGAUUAGAUACCCUGGUAGUCCACGCCGUAAACGAUGAGUGCUAAGUGUUAGAGGGUAUCCACCCUUUAGUGCUGUAGCUAACGCAUUAAGCAUUCCGCCUGGGGAGUACGGCCGCAAGGUUAAAACUCAAAGGAAUUGACGGGGGCC